GAUGACUUGUGGCUGGGGGUGAAAGGCCAAUCAAACCGGGAGAUAGCUGGUUCUCCCCGAAAGCUAUUUAGGUAGCGCCUCGUGAAUUCAUCUCCGGGGGUAGAGCACUGUUUCGGCAAGGGGGUCAUCCCGACUUACCAACCCGAUGCAAACUGCGAAUACCGGAGAAUGUUAUCACGGGAGACACACGGCGGGUGCUAACGUCCGUCGUGAAGAGGGAAACAACCCAGACCGCCAGCUAAGGUCCCAAAGUCAUGGUUAAGUGGGAAACGAUGUGGGAAGGCCCAGACAGCCAGGAUGUUGGCUUAGAAGCAGCCAUCAUUUAAAGAAAGCGUAAUAGCUCACUGGUCGAGUCGGCCUGCGCGGAAGAUGUAACGGGGCUAAACCAUGCACCGAAGCUGCGGCAGCGACACUGUGUGUUGUUGGGUAGGGGAGCGUUCUGUAAGCCUGCGAAGGUGUGCUGUGAGGCAUGCUGGAGGUAUCAGAAGUGCGAAUGCUGACAUAAGUAACGAUAAAGCGGGUGAAAAGCCCGCUCGCCGGAAGACCAAGGGUUCCUGUCCAACGUUAAUCGGGGCAGGGUGAGUCGACCCCUAAGGCGAGGCCGAAAGGCGUAGUCGAUGGGAAACAGGUUAAUAUUCCUGUACUUGGUGUUACUGCGAAGGGGGGACGGAGAAGGCUAUGUUGGCCGGGCGACGGUUGUCCCGGUUUAAGCGUGUAGGCUGGUUUUCCAGGCAAAUCCGGAAAACCAAGGCUGAGGCGUGAUGACGAGGCACUACGGUGCUGAAGCGACAAAUGCCCUGCUUCCAGGAAAAGCCUCUAAGCAUCAGGUAACAUCAAAUCGUACCCCAAACCGACACAGGUGGUCAGGUAGAGAAUACCAAGGCGCUUGAGAGAACUCGGGUGAAGGAACUAGGCAAAAUGGUGCCGUAACUUCGGGAGAAGGCACGCUGAUAUGUAGGUGAAGCGACUUGCUCGUGGAGCUGAAAUCAGUCGAAGAUACCAGCUGGCUGCAACUGUUUAUUAAAAACACAGCACUGUGCAAACACGAAAGUGGACGUAUACGGUGUGACGCCUGCCCGGUGCCGGAAGGUUAAUUGAUGGGGUUAGCGGCAACGCGAAGCUCUUGAUCGAAGCCCCGGUAAACGGCGGCCGUAACUAUAACGGUCCUAAGGUAGCGAAAUUCCUUGUCGGGUAAGUUCCGACCUGCACGAAUGGCGUAAUGAUGGCCAGGCUGUCUCCACCCGAGACUCAGUGAAAUUGAACUCGCUGUGAAGAUGCAGUGUACCCGCGGCAAGACGGAAAGACCCCGUGAACCUUUACUAUAGCUUGACACUGAACAUUGAGCCUUGAUGUGUAGGAUAGGUGGGAGGCUUUGAAGUGUGGACGCCAGUCUGCAUGGAGCCGACCUUGAAAUACCACCCUUUAAUGUUUGAUGUUCUAACGUUGGCCCCUAAUCGGGGUUGCGGACAGUGUCUGGUGGGUAGUUUGACUGGGGCGGUCUCCUCCUAAAGAGUAACGGAGGAGCACGAAGGUUGGCUAAUCCUGGUCGGACAUCAGGAGGUUAGUGCAAUGGCAUAAGCCAGCUUGACUGCGAGCGUGACGGCGCGAGCAGGUGCGAAAGCAGGUCAUAGUGAUCCGGUGGUUCUGAAUGGAAGGGCCAUCGCUCAACGGAUAAAAGGUACUCCGGGGAUAACAGGCUGAUACCGCCCAAGAGUUCAUAUCGACGGCGGUGUUUGGCACCUCGAUGUCGGCUCAUCACAUCCUGGGGCUGAAGUAGGUCCCAAGGGUAUGGCUGUUCGCCAUUUAAAGUGGUACGCGAGCUGGGUUUAGAACGUCGUGAGACAGUUCGGUCCCUAUCUGCCGUGGGCGCUGGAGAACUGAGGGGGGCUGCUCCUAGUACGAGAGGACCGGAGUGGACGCAUCACUGGUGUUCGGGUUGUCAUGCCAAUGGCACUGCCCGGUAGCUAAAUGCGGAAGAGAUAAGUGCUGAAAGCAUCUAAGCACGAAACUUGCCCCGAGAUGAGUUCUCCCUGAGACUUAGAGUCUCCUGAAGGAACGUUGAAGACGACGACGUUGAUAGGCCGGGUGUGUAAGCGCAGCGAUGCGUUGAGCUAACCGGUACUAAUGAACCGUGAGGCUUAACCUUA
rnacentral:rRNA from 1 species